AUAAAAAUGUGAAGGUUUUUGGAUAUGUUUAAUGAAAUGUAAAAAUGGAAAGUCUGGAAUGUUCUGUCUUUUGCAUUUUUCAUCCAUACUGCAAAAGAAAACCGCAUUCUACUGCACACAUUGAUUUCAGGACUGUAAUAGGUGGAAUACAGUCCCUAAAAUAAGUAUCGGAGUUUAAUUUUAGAUUCCAAUCUGUCCAUUUAAUUUAAAGCUCAAAUUUAACUAGAAGCAUGCAUAUCUGUCUAGUAAGGCUUGUAAACAUGACCUUUGUAAGCUGCUGCUGAAAGUAAAAAAUAGGUG